CGACCGGGCGAGUAACACGUGACCAAUCUACCCUUGAGUGGGGGAUAACCUCGGGAAACCGGGGCUAAUACCGCAUAAAAUCUCUGGAUCGGAAGAACUGGAGAUCAAAGGAGCAAUUCGCUUAAGGAGGAGGUCGCGGCUGAUUAGCUAGUUGGCGGGGUAAUGGCCCACCAAGGCAAAGAUCGGUAGCCGGCCUGAGAGGGCGCACGGCCACACUGGAACUGAAACACGGUCCAG
rnacentral:rRNA from 1 species